UUAUGUUGCGGUGCCCAAAUCAGCAACUCAUGCAGAUACCAUGAAAGGCGUUGGUUGCUUAAAACAGCAGGACGGUGGACAUGGAAGUCGCAAUCCGCUAAGGAGUGUGUAACAACUCACCUGCCGAAGCCGAACUAGCCCUUAAAAUGGAUGGCGCGUAAGUUGUGUACCUAUACAUUA
rnacentral:ncRNA from 1 species